UUCACAGCAGCCCCAUGUAGGUACAGCCAUCAAAUUUAACCCAUCACUGGGACAGGAUGCAUUGGUGAAGAAUGAAGUUACUAAAAACACAAAAUAUCAGUGCAUCACUGCAAUGAAGGAAUAUGAGGGCAAAAGUCUGGGGGCUGGUGCAGAAAUGCCGAAAGUUCAGAUGUCCCAAUGGAAGUGCUCAGGAAAACGUUUUGCUUUGAAAGAGCUCUGUUUGGAAACAAGUUCAAAUUAUAGCUCCUUCCUUUUAACCAAUAAAGGAGCUCAUACUUACAAUGGCAAUGGACGCACAUCAAGAUACAACACUCGUGCUUCAAAGGGACGGAAAAAGGAAAAGUCAGAUUCAUUUA